CUGGAUGGUGCAGUUCUUUGGUGCUUAAAGAAUGGUUGUCCGUAGUAUGGUCUCUAUAUUCAUGGUGAUUAAUAUCGGACAACCAUUGUUUUAGUAUCCAACUUUGCUUCAAAAGUUCU
rnacentral:pre_miRNA from 12 species